GUAGGUGAACCUGCGGAAGGAUCAUUAACACGUAUCCAAACGUAAACCCCCCCGUGAACCUUAACCCUGCUCUCCUGACGUUCGAGAAAAAGCUAAAGAAACGCCCCCUGGUAUCUCACAUGUUUGUUAUGACUCUGUGGGCCGUUUCUUGAAACUUUUUCGAAGGACGGAGUGUGGAUAGAUGCGGGUCGCAAGUAAGGCUUGGUUGCCCCUGCGGCUGCUGUCUGUCAGUGUCAGCGGUGGUAGUGGG
rnacentral:misc_RNA from 1 species